UCAAACGUGCAUUGGUGAUACAAAUAGGACAACUUGGAACUGAAUUGAGGAUUACAUGGAAAGAUCACAAAACUUUAUACAACUUAUAUCGGAUCAAAUUGGAAAGGCCCUUAGUUCAUCUAAUGUUUUACCACUUCUAUAUGAUGAGAAUUUCAUACAAUAGUUAUUUCGAGUAUUACAGAUGAGGAUGUUGCGUCCAUAUCUAGUAGGAAGAAACGAGAUUUAUCAUUUUUCUGGCACUCUUCUUGGCUGAUAAAGCCAGUAACUUUUUGUAGUCUAUGCUCUUUGUGGCAUGCUUGAACCAUCUUUUGAUAUGGAUUUCAGAAUAUAGUUGAGUCGAGAAUAAAUAUGUUAUUCUUUAUGGAAAUUCUAUUAAGAUAUGUCAAGAACGAAAUGUUGUGUUUAUUAUUAGAUAAUACGACCUUAUAUAUAUAAGUUCUCUAAAGUAAGAAAAGAAAUUGAUAAUUAAUUACAUGGAGUGUAUAUUGGAAUAUCCUUUUAACCUAAUUCUCCUUUAUUAAUUACUAAUAAAAUACAUUCUUCAACACUCCCCCUCAAGUUUAGGAAUAAAUAUUAUCUAUUCUCAGGUUAACGAUAAUAGUCCAGAAUGGUGGGUUAUUCAAGCCUUUGGUCAAUAAUUUUGCAAGUUGUAAAUUGGUAGGCAUAUACGGUGUAUAUAUCAGAUUAUUGUCUAGUUUUUCUUAAUGAGAUGCCUAUUCAUCUCUAUAUGUUUUGUAUUGUUGUGUUAUAAUGGGUUAUGAGCAAUGUCUAUAGCCAAUUUGUUGUUACCGUAGAGACACAUGGAGCAUUCUAUUUGAUUCUCAAAUCUUUUAUGAUUCUCUUUAACCAUGGUAGCUCAAAUACCCCUUGUACCAUUGCUCGAAAUUCUGACUCUACUCUCGAUUUCACAAUUGCAUUUUGCUUUUUGCUCCUCUAAAUGAGUAACUUAUUCCGAAGGAAAGUACAGUAACCUGUGAUCGAUUUUUGGUCCACCACGGAUCUUGAAUAGAUUGUGUUAAUAUAGGUUUCAAGGAGUAACUUGUCAUUUUUCUUGAAUAGGAUAACUUUUAUCAGUAACCCAUUUGAGUAUAUAAUACUCUGUAAGCUGCUUGUAAGUGCAGUUAUUGAAAGUCAUGCAUGAACUGACUUAUCACACUUAUUACAUAGAUAAUGUUUGGUUUUGUAUGUGACAAAUAUAUCAAUCUUCCUACUAGUAUCUUAUAUAUCUCUUUGUCUACUUCUGUAUCCUCUUCUAUUGGUUCUAAUUUGUGGUUGGGAUCAAUAAGUAUGCUAGCUGGUUUACACACUAGUUUAUCGAUAUCUUUUAGCAGGUCAUUGAUAUGUUUUGAUGUGAAAUGAAGAUUCCUAAUUUUCAGUGAGCAACUUCAGUUUCAAUCAAGUACUUCAGCUUUCCUAAUUUCUUGAUCUCAAACUCAUUGGCUAGGCAUUGCUUGAGCAUCCAUUUUUUUUCGUUGUUCCAUGUUACAAUAAUCAUCAACACACACUGGGAGAGCUGUAACUCCCUCUAGAUUUGAAUGCUUGAUAAUAGGAUAUGGUCUUGCUGACUCUGUUUAUAUCCCAAACCUAACAUUACCUUUGCAAAUUUGCAAAGCAUGCUUAGGGUGAUUGUUUGAGCCCGUAAAGUGUCUUCUUCAAUUUACAUACUUUAUUUGUUUCUACCUUUUUGGUAAAUCCUAAUGGUAUCUUUAUAUAAAUUUUUUCCCGUAGAUCUUCAUGUAGAAAGACAUCAUUUGCAUCAAAUUAUUUCAAUUUCGAAUUAAAGUGAGCAGCUAGAGACAACAAAACUUGGACUGUGUUCAUUUAAAUAAUUGGUGCUAAUAUCUCUUGAUAAUCUAUUGUAUAGGUUUGAGUAUAACCUUUCACCGCCAACCUUAGUUUGUACCUGUCCGUUGUUCCAUUAACCUUGUUUUUUAUUGUAAACAUCUGCUUACAUUUCACAUGUUUCUUUCUCUUCGGCAAGUCCACCAUCUCUCAUGUUUGGUUCUUUUUCAGAUUUCAACAUUCAAAAUGUUUUUUUUUUUUUUUUUUCUCAGAGGAUAAUGCCUCAGUAAAGUGUUAGAGAUAGACUCAACAUUCAAACUUGUAAUAAAAUUUCUUAUGGAAAUGUGAACAUUUAUCAAAAGACACGAACUGUGAGAUUAGGUAAAAAAGGGUGUUUAGUUAUUUUCUAGUUCCUUUAGGAGUUGUAAAGGACAUAUCAAUAUCAGGUUGUAUAUGGUUUUGAGGACUCACCUCAGUUCUAGAACUUGUUUCUGAUGCUUGAACUUGUUUAAGUUUUGCAACUGAAUUCUUCCUUCUUGAGUACACCUGAUUAAAUCUUGGAUCAUGUAAGGUUUCUUUGGUAGUUUGAUUUCCUAGUGGAUUUUGAGAGAUUUCCUGUAAUGGCGUAGGUUGUGAUUGGAUAGGUGGUAAUGGUUAGAAGUUAAGAUCAACCAAAAAAUCUAUAUUCUUAUCUUCCAAUAUAGGCUUCCUUUGGACAUAAGACUGGAAAAAAUAAAAAUCUGUUUCAACAUAUUUAACAUCCACAGACACAUAAAAUAUUUAUAUAGGCGACACUCACAUGUCUUCUGAGAAGAGGAGUACCCUACAAACACGUACUUAAGGCUUUGGGAUCAAGUUCCCUCUUUGAUGGGAAUCGAUAUGAGCAAAGGUGUCACAUCUAAGUAUUUGAAGGGCUAGAUAGUUUAUGACACUGAUUGUUUUGUAAAUUUUGAGGGUAUUUCCAGAGGACUUUUAAAUUCUAGGACACUUGAGGAUAAUUGGUUAACAAUGUUAAAGAUUCUUUAUCUCCAGUAUUGUUUUCGGAAGUUGUUUUUGAAUAGGAAAGCUCGAGUUAUAGUAAGAAGGCGACUAUUCUCUUGUUCUGCCACUCCAUCUUGUGGAAUGUGGAUACAUUAUGAUUCUGGAAUAAUUUUUUCUUAGUAAAAAAGGAUAAAAGUAUGUAGUUGAAAAAAUAUUUUGCACUAUUAGCCCAAAAUCUUUUGAAGUGGGUUCUACACUGGGUUUUGAUCAUAUUGCAAAAUUGGGGUAUUCUGUGACUCGCAUCACAUUUUGAUUUAAGUAAGAAAAGCCAUGUGACUUUUGCACAAUCAUCACUAAAUAAUAAAAACCAUUGAGUCCUAAAAAUAUUAAGAAUGUGAGAUUUUUUUCAAAUUUCAAUAAUGAAAAUGGAAACAAACUUACCUUAUUGUUAUUAGAAAAUACUACACACUUAUGUUUAGCAAAGUCAUAUACAUCACGAUGUAAAUUUUCAUCAACAAAAUCUUUAAAUAAAAGGAGAAAUAUAACCUUCAAAAUAAAAAAGAUGAGUGCUCAAGUCAUUUGUGGUAGAGCUAGAGCUUGUUGGUAGAGUCUAUAGUGGUAGUGGAGGGAGAUAAUCUAGGUGCAUAGAAGUAGUACAAUCAGUUUCUAGUUUCAGUAUGUCCAAGUCCUAAAAAUCAUAAUGGAAAGGGAAAAAAAGUUGUUUUGCAAUUCAAGUCAUUAGAUAAUCUAAUGACUGACAUAAUAUUCGUAUUGAUUUCUGGGACAUGUAACACAUCUUCAAAAACGAGAUGAGAACUAAUCUUGAUGUUAUCCUUUUCUGCAAUGAUGUUUCAGGACCUAUACGCAGUGAUAAUUUUUCUCCUACUUGGACAUGCAACAUAUGUGUGGAAGUAUUUUGAUGAUUUGGUUAUAUGGUCAGUGGUCCUUGAGUAUAAAAUCUGUGAUUGUUCAAAUGGUCUAUCUGAGCCAUUUAAACCAUGUGAAAGGGGAAAGAUACCUGACCAACACACUUGUACUUGUGGGUUUUUCCAAGUCCUCAAGCUUGCUUAUUAAACAUUCAAUCUCAGCUUUGAAUUCACUAAGAUAAGUAGGUUUUCCCCCUCAUGCUGGUUGAUUACAUGUGCUUGUCUAUAGGUUUCUGUGAAGUAUUUCUGUAACCCCAUUACUGUUUGAGGUAGAGGACUUCCUAUGAAGUUUUAACAUUUCUCCUUGGUGUGCCAAGCCUUCUUGCAGAAAGUGCACCAAAGGUUAUCUCUAUCUCUCCUCCUGUUGCUGAGGAGUCAAUCUGACCUUGUUCCUUUACCAGUUGGUGUGGUUCGGAACCCUUGGAUGUCAGCAGAGCUAUUAUUGGAGCAAGGUUCCAAUAUAACUUAUGCUUUCUUCUUCAACUAUAAUGGAAAUAACCUCAUUUAGUGAGAACAUGUCUUCUUUUUCCAAUAUUGAAUCCAACCUGGUCAAAAUCUGCAUUGAGGCCCGUCAUAAAGUGAUAGACUCUGUCUUUUUUCAUAAAUUGCAUCCUUGUUGUAGUUCAUAGGAAGGCAGCGAUAUUGGUUUAGUUCCUACUACUAAUUCUUCAGUAAAUUAGUAUACUCUGUCACUGAUCUGCUUCCUUGCUUGGCAGACCAAAUUUGAUUGUUAGAUUGUAGAUUUGGGCUGCAUCUUUUACUCAGGACUAAGUCUUUCUAACAACUUUUCAAACUUCUUUAGUGGUGGGCAAGAAUAUGCAAGUGUCAUUUGUCUCUAAUAAUAUUGAAUUUCAGAGCCAGGCCAUGAUUAUUUAAUUUUUCUCAUCCCAAGCAUCAAAUUGUAGAUCUCCCAGUUUAGGUCUGGUGAACUGAAUCUGACUUAUUUCCUUUUUCCCUUAAGGAUAGUCCAAAUUACAUAUGACCAAUUCAAGUAAUUUCCAUUCAGACAAUGGGCAACCUGAAUUGAUUGAAGUUCUCUGUUGUAUUGUUUCGAGUUUCUUAUGUUAGGAUUUGUGCUAGUAAAGUGAGAUGUAACCUUAGACAUGAUUUAAAAAUCUUAGACAAUUAAGGCAUAUGGAGGAAACUGCCAGUGGUGGUGGCUGGUGCAUUACUGCUGUAGCAGAGCAUGCCGCAGGUGCAGCUGGUGGCUACACGCAGCUGGUCUCGCAGUCUGGCUGGAUGUGUGCACAAUGGUGUGUGUUGGUGGAGGGCUAGUCGCAUGGUUGGCAGCAGCUGAUAGAGCGGGUGGCUGAGUGCUGGUCAUGCGGCUGGCUGGGUGCUGCUAGUGCUGUGACAGCUGGCUGCUGGUUCACGCCAAUGGGCCGUGCACCUGGCUGUUUUCUGGCUAUGAAGGCCGGUGGUGGUUGUUUUGGUGGCCGGCUAUGAAGGCUGGUACUUAUAAGGUUAUUCUUAUUUCAGCAAUGAAGACCGAAUGAAGUUUAUAAAAGAGUUAGGUUUUCUUUAUAUAGGGUUCUGAUACUAUAUUAAGAAUGAUAUGUUGUGUUUAUGAUUAAAUAAUAUGAUCUUAAAAGUAAGAAUGAUACCAUGUCAAUAAUGAUAUAUUGUGUUUAUUAUUAGAUAAUAUGACCUUAAAAGUAAGAAAGCAAGCAGAAUUUUAAUCACAUAGGAUAUAUUUUAUCAUAAUUGCUGUAAUCUAAUUCUCCUAUACCUAAUUACAUGCAAAAAUACAUUCUUCAACAAGAUAUAAUUGAUUGACCAGUUUUUUGGGAAAGAUAAUGUGAAAGACCAAAAGAAAAGGAAUAUGUUAAAGGUUCAAGUGGCUUCUUACAAGAUGAUUAUUUGUUUUGUUGUAGUUGGUAAACACUGGGAAGGAAAGGGCAAAAGUAAGCCUUCUUUUUACAUGGGCGAAUUCAAUUGGAGGAGCUUCGCACUUAUCGGGAGAUCACGUGAAUGAGCCAUUCUUAGGUGAAGGAGGAGUCUCUGGUGUCCUUCUACAUCACAAGCAAGUCAUCAAACCCUAAUAGCUAUACAUGACGGACUGCAAAGGGAAACCCUCCAGUUACUUUUGCAAUAGCUGCAUGUGAGACCCAGAAUGUAAAUGUGACUGUUAUGCCAUGUUUCGGUCUGUCUGAAGAAAGUUGCAUUACAGCAAAGGAUAUGUGGGGUAAAA